AAAAAUUUAGUUAAAAUAUAACAUUAGUCUGUCACACUAAAAUUAUAAUUUAAAUUUAUAAUUUUUU
rnacentral:tRNA from 1 species